CCCUGCCGGGCAGCGACGACGUUCCGUUCAAGCCCCUUCAGUUGUUGGCUCAAGCGCUCAAAGGCUUGGCCGACGUUGGUUUCUUGUGCUGAAUUCCUAAUCGAUGGCAACCUUUUGUCCACCAAAGUCCCGCACUCCUCCUUUCAUCCCGUCUCCGUAAGGGGACGAGGCGUGGGGAGGACAUCAAAGCCCCCAUCGUGUCUCGGCACCUGUGCUCCCCCGCUAGAUCGGGCUUGCCAGGGCCGUCGACCCACAACGUCGYGCUCGAUCUCUCGGAUGCGGAAAACCAAGCGGCCAUGAGGCCACGACCUCUGUUGCCCCUUUAGAANANNNUCUAACGCUCCCUGNNNACNACUGCCUGUCGGGUCUUGGCUCGCUGAGGGGUUCCGGAACAUGCCCGAUCGCCCGCGGCGGGGAAUGCUACCUGGUUGAUCCGACCAAAAGUUA
rnacentral:misc_RNA from 1 species